rnacentral:rRNA from 1 species
AACGAACGCUGGCGGCAUGCCUAACACAUGCAAGUCGAACGAGACCUUCGGGUCUAGUGGCGCACGGGUGCGUAACGCGUGGGAACCUGCCCUUAGGUUCGGAAUAACUCCCCGAAAGGGGUGCUAAUACCGGAUAAUGUCUUCGGACCAAAGAUUUAUCGCCUUUGGAUGGGCCCGCGUUGGAUUAGCUGGUUGGUAGGGUAAAAGCCUACCAAGGCGACGAUCCAUAGCUGGUCUGAGAGGAUGAUCAGCCACACUGGGACUGAGACACGGCCCAGACUCCUACGGGAGGCAGCAGUGGGGAAUAUUGGACAAUGGGCGAAAGCCUGAUCCAGCAAUGCCGCGUGAGUGAUGAAGGCCUUAGGGUUGUAAAGCUCUUUUACCCGGGAUGAUAAUGACAGUACCGGGAGAAUAAGCUCCGGCUAACUCCGUG